UCCCUGGUGGCCUGGUGGGUUAAGGAUCCAACACUGUCACUGUUGUGGCUUGGGUUCGAUUCCUGGCCCAGGAA
rnacentral:tRNA from 1 species